rnacentral:rRNA from 1 species
CCUACGGGAGGCAGCAGUGAGGAAUAUUGGUCAAUGGGCGGAAGCCUGAACCAGCCAAGUAGCGUGCGGGAUGACGGCCCUACGGGUCGUAAACCGCUUUUGCACGGGGAUAACAUCCUCCACUUGUGGAGGUCUGCAGGUACCUUGCGAAUAAGGGCCGGCUAAUUCCGUGCCAGCAGCCGCGGUAAUACGGAAGGCCCGAGCGUUAUCCGGAUUCAUUGGGGUUAAAGGGAGCGUAGGUGGGCGUUCAAGUCAGCGGUAAAAUCUCGCGGCUCAACCGCGCCCCGCAGUUGAAACUGGACGCCUUGAGUUCACAACAGGCAGGCGGAAUUCGUGGUGUAGCGGUGAAAUGCAUAGAUAUCACGAGGAACCCCGAUUGCGAAGGCAGCCUGC